AAAUUGAAGAGUUUGAUCAUGGCUCAGAUUGAACGCUGGCGGCAGGCCUAACACAUGCAAGUCGAGCGGUAGCACAGAGAGCUUGCUCUCGGGUGACGAGCGGCGGACGGGUGAGUAAUGUCUGGGAAACUGCCUGAUGGAGGGGGAUAACUACUGGAAACGGUAGCUAAUACCGCAUAACGUCGCAAGACCAAAGUGGGGGACCUUCGGGCCUCAUGCCAUCAGAUGUGCCCAGAUGGGAUUAGCUAGUAGGUGGGGUAAUGGCUCACCUAGGCGACGAUCCCUAGCUGGUCUGAGAGGAUGACCAGCCACACUGGAACUGAGACACGGUCCAGACUCCUACGGGAGGCAGCAGUGGGGAAUAUUGCACAAUGGGCGCAAGCCUGAUGCAGCCAUGCCGCGUGUGUGAAGAAGGCCUUCGGGUUGUAAAGCACUUUCAGCGGGGAGGAAGGCGAUAAGGUUAAUAACCUUGUCGAUUGACGUUACCCGCAGAAGAAGCACCGGCUAACUCCGUGCCAGCAGCCGCGGUAAUACGGAGGGUGCAAGCGUUAAUCGGAAUUACUGGGCGUAAAGCGCACGCAGGCGGUCUGUCAAGUCGGAUGUGAAAUCCCCGGGCUCAACCCGGGAACUGCAUUCGAAACUGGCAGGCUAGAGUCUUGUAGAGGGGGUAGAAUUCCAGGUGUAGCGGUGAAAUGCGUAGAGAUCUGGAGGAAUACCGGUGGCGAAGGCGGCCCCUGGACAAAGACUGACGCUCAGGUGCGAAAGCGUGGGGAGCAAACAGGAUUAGAUACCCUGGUAGUCCACGCCGUAAACGAUGUCGAUUUGGAGGUUGUGCCCUUGAGGCGUGGCUUCCGGAGCUAACGCGUUAAAUCGACCGCCUGGGGAGUACGGCCGCAAGGUUAAAACUCAAAUGAAUUGACGGGGGCCCGCACAAGCGGUGGAGCAUGUGGUUUAAUUCGAUGCAACGCGAAGAACCUUACCUGGUCUUGACAUCCACAGAACUUUCCAGAGAUGGAUUGGUGCCUUCGGGAACUGUGAGACAGGUGCUGCAUGGCUGUCGUCAGCUCGUGUUGUGAAAUGUUGGGUUAAGUCCCGCAACGAGCGCAACCCUUAUCCUUUGUUGCCAGCGGUUAGGCCGGGAACUCAAAGGAGACUGCCAGUGAUAAACUGGAGGAAGGUGGGGAUGACGUCAAGUCAUCAUGGCCCUUACGACCAGGGCUACACACGUGCUACAAUGGCAUAUACAAAGAGAAGCGACCUCGCGAGAGCAAGCGGACCUCAUAAAGUAUGUCGUAGUCCGGAUUGGAGUCUGCAACUCGACUCCAUGAAGUCGGAAUCGCUAGUAAUCGUAGAUCAGAAUGCUACGGUGAAUACGUUCCCGGGCCUUGUACACACCGCCCGUCACACCAUGGGAGUGGGUUGCAAAAGAAGUAGGUAGCUUAACCUUCGGGAGGGCGCUUACCACUUUGUGAUUCAUGACUGGGGUGAAGUCGUAACAAGGUAACCGUAGGGGAACCUGCGGUUGGAUCACCUCCUUA
rnacentral:rRNA from 1 species